CCGGCGAUUUCCGAAUGGGGAAACCCAGUGUGUUUCGACACACUAUCAUUAACUGAAUCCAUAGGUUAAUGAGGCGAACCGGGGGAACUGAAACAUCUAAGUACCCCGAGGAAAAGAAAUCAACCGAGAUUCCCCCAGUAGCGGCGAGCGAACGGGGAGGAGCCCAGAGCCUGAAUCAGUGUGUGUGUUAGUGGAAGCGUCUGGAAAGGCGCGCGAUACAGGGUGACAGCCCCGUACACAAAAAUGCACAUACUGUGAGCUCGAUGAGUAGGGCGGGACACGUGGUAUCCUGUCUGAAUAUGGGGGGACCAUCCUCCAAGGCUAAAUACUCCUGACUGACCGAUAGUGAACCAGUACCGUGAGGGAAAGGCGAAAAGAACCCCGGCGAGGGGAGUGAAAAAGAACCUGAAACCGUGUACGUACAAGCAGUGGGAGCCUCUUUUAUGGGGUGACUGCGUACCUUUUGUAUAAUGGGUCAGCGACUUAUAUUCUGUAGCAAGGUUAACCGAAUAGGGGAGCCGAAGGGAAACCGAGUCUUAACUGGGCGUUAAGUUGCAGGGUAUAGACCCGAAACCCGGUGAUCUAGCCAUGGGCAGGUUGAAGGUUGGGUAACACUAACUGGAGGACCGAACCGACUAAUGUUGAAAAAUUAGCGGAUGACUUGUGGCUGGGGGUGAAAGGCCAAUCAAACCGGGAGAUAGCUGGUUCUCCCCGAAAGCUAUUUAGGUAGCGCCUCGUGAAUUCAUCUCCGGGGGUAGAGCACUGUUUCGGCAAGGGGGUCAUCCCGACUUACCAACCCGAUGCAAACUGCGAAUACCGGAGAAUGUUAUCACGGGAGACACACGGCGGGUGCUAACGUCCGUCGUGAAGAGGGAAACAACCCAGACCGCCAGCUAAGGUCCCAAAGUCAUGGUUAAGUGGGAAACGAUGUGGGAAGGCCCAGACAGCCAGGAUGUUGGCUUAGAAGCAGCCAUCAUUUAAAGAAAGCGUAAUAGCUCACUGGUCGAGUCGGCCUGCGCGGAAGAUGUAACGGGGCUAAACCAUGCACCGAAGCUGCGGCAGCGACGCUUAUGCGUUGUUGGGUAGGGGAGCGUUCUGUAAGCCUGUGAAGGUGUACUGUGAGG
rnacentral:rRNA from 1 species